UACGUAGGGGGCGAACGUUGUCCGGAUUUAUUGGGCGUAAAGAGCUCGUAGGCGGCUCAGCAAGUCGGCCGUGAAAGUCCGGGGCUCAACCCCGGGAUGCCGGUCGAUACUGCUGUGGCUAGGGUCCGGUAGAGGAGAGUGGAAUUCCCGGUGUAGCGGUGAAAUGCGCAGAUAUCGGGAGGAACACCAGUAGCGAAGGCGGCUCUCUGGGCCGGUACCGACGCUGAGGAGCGAAAGCUAGGGGAGCGAACAGGAUUAGAUACCCUGGUAGUCCUAGCCGUAAACGUUGGGCACUAGGUGUGGCGGACUCAUUGACGUCUGCCGUGCCGCAGCUAACGCAUUAAGUGCCCCGCCUGGGGAGUACGGUCGCAAGGCUAAA
rnacentral:rRNA from 1 species